rnacentral:lncRNA from 1 species
AAGAGCUUUCAAAUGACAACUUCCUUUACCUGCAGUGUGGAGCUGUGUGCUUGAAGCUUUUGCCUGCAAUGAGAAAAGGCAUGUUCUUUGUAGGAAAGUGGAUCGGAGCUGUAAUACUGGUGCCUGGAGAAGUGUUUUACUCGCUCUCACCUCAUCUCCAGCUCUCACUCUGAACUACCUGCUUCUGUUUCCUCAAGACCACCGUUCACAAAGGUGUGGUUUUGCUGCGGGUCAUUGUCACACUGACAUCGUGUCUGCAGGUCAAUUACUGGCUGCGGAGCUCCGUCAGAUGGUUGUAGCACAACUACAACCCCAAUCACUCAGAAACCCAGACGCUGAACAUCUGCUGAACAUCCUGCUGUACACUGGAAACCAGAUUUUUCUUUUUCAUCAAGAGCACCGCUUGGAGACAACGGAUAACUUUGUCAGGAAUCUGUAGAGCUGGAAUCACACAUGACUGUUGCUGGGGCUGUUGAAUGCAAUUGCAUGUGAAUGAAAGCAAACUGAGCAAUAUGGAUACAGUGUCUCUGAACACCUCCUUGUUCUCUGGCAGUCAGAGCAUCAGUAUGGAUUCUCCCAAUUUGUCCAUGAGAUCCGUAGGCUUCACCAAUGACACGGAUUCGUCCCGCAGCAGCACACUCUUACACUGGAACUUCUUCCUGGCCGCCAACUACAUCAGUGUGGUCCAAGAAAAUACUUUUACAAGUCACAUUUGAAGAAGAACUUGAUUUGUUACGCCUGUGAAAAUAAAAUGCAUUUGAAUAAGCUUCGGCAAGGAACAUAAUAUAUAUUAUUUAAUUAUUAAAAAUCUAGUUUUGUUCUCUAGUAGGCCAUGCACAUUUGUAUUUAGCCUAACUGUA